GGAGAGGUGGCCGAGUGGCUGAAGGCACUCGCCUGCUAAGCGAGUAAGGGGCUAACGCUCUUUCGCGGGUUCGAAUCCCGCCCUCUCCG
rnacentral:tRNA from 1 species